rnacentral:tRNA from 1 species
GGUUCCAUAGUGUGGUGGUUAUAUAUCUGCUUUACACGCAGAAGGUCCUGGGUUCACGCCCUAGUGGAGCCA